rnacentral:lncRNA from 1 species
UGCUCUUGUGCCUGAGACCGUCUUUUUAUUUGCAUCAUCUCAGCCCAUGUGGGAAACUAUAGCAUGAUGGCACGAACUUCAGAAGCUGUCGUGUACUCAAAGAUGACUUGAAUUCGAUGGUUCUACAAAACAGAUACAAAUGAAGAACAUUAUCCUGUGGAUAAGUAAGGAAAAGGGAACCAAUAACAAACAUCUACUUCGGAUUAGCUAGUGUUAAUAAACCAUUAAAGAUUACUGAGUGUAAAAAAAAUGCUGUGCAGUCAGACUACCGAUACUCUUUAGCCUAUAAAACCUAAGUGUACGCCAUCCCUUUCUCUACAAUUUAGCGGUCCUUUAUUGUUACUGUUGAAUCAAGAAAGCAAUGGAAUGAUAAAUGGAUACAUUGAACUACACAAAAGGCCACCAGAUAUCUCAUAGAAAAGAUUGCUGAUGUAAACAUGUCUAUGCCACAACCUAUGGAUAUUUAUUUGAGUAGAUGUCACUAAUUUCAAACGUUAAUAUCUGGUAUAGGGGAAAUUCAUGUAGGUAGUAAAAAUGUGGUGGCGGAACUGAAUUAUACAAUAAAUGCAUAUGCAUAUAGAAAAUCUCUGUCUAUUGUUCAAAUAUACGAAAUCUACUUAUAAUCUUGAUCCAGAGCAGCCAGUAGGUCUCUAAGCUGCUUUUUUGUAAGGAAGAUAACCAAAUAAAAAGAUCGAUUGUUAAAAGACUCAACAGUAAAAAGAAGCAGAGCACAUGGCCAUUUGAGGACUGAUAGUACGUCUAAUGUGGGCAAUUAUUCAGUCUUUUCUCUAGCCGGCAGCCUAAUUGUAUGUCUGUUGAAACCAUUUUCAAAAAAUAAAGGCUUUGUCAGAUUCAAAAGAACAUGACGUUACUACCAGCUAAUACAUGACCAUGAGAUCUUGUAUCAUAGUUGUAUUGUGAUCUGGUCCUAAAUAUUGCCAUUUUGUCUUAUGAACCAUGAAAUCUAAACUUUUCGCCCUGUAACAGAGCAAGCACAUGCAUGCUCUUGCCAUCUGCGGACUUAUAGAAAAUCCGGUGCCUUGCAUGAAACAGUCCAAGAACCAUAUUUCAGAUUGCACAACUAAAAGCAGAGAAACAUGUAGCAAAGUAAUAGUAUCAAUACAUGGAAACCAGCAGAACAGAUGAUAGGUGGGUAUAAAGUAAAGGUUGGUACCUGAGAGUCGAGUAUAACCAAGUCCAUAUGCUUAAUCGGACAAUUUUCAGUUCCAUCGUGGUGGUGCCACAAGCAUGACACUUGCACACGAACAUGGCGAAGCGAGUUGCCCGGACGAAGCUUGGACAAAGCAUUAAACACCAUCUAUAUCAGCAGGCUUAAUCAAUAUAUACGAACAAAGCAAGAAUAAACUACACAAGACAUAGUUUACCAAGCAUGGAAAAUAGAUAGCAUAGCACGUUAACAAGAAACACAUAAGAACCCACACAAGCAGGCUAAUAUAGAACAGAGGCCCAGCAAGUACAAGACCAACACACAUAAAAUAAGAAAAUGCCAAAAGGCAGUAUUAGACAGGAAUACACACAUAUGGCAAGACACGAGAGGGACAAUACACCCCUACCUGAUGAUCGGUGAGAGUCAAUAGAUUAGGCAAAACUACAGCACCCACAAAGCUGAAGGCAAGGCCUGCAAAAAAUAAUCAACAACAGGAUUAACCAAUGGAAAUACCAAGCUAAUUAAGCAUCUAGAACCUAAAGCCAUCAACCAAAAAACUAUACGUGUUGGCCAUGUAAAUUAAAACAGCACUACCCACAAACAAAAUACAUGGGUCCACACAUAACCUUUAAAAAUACAUGUUGCUCCUUUACUACCUGCAUAACCUAAGAGAACAUGAAAAAAGGACUAAUUUAGUUCUGCUGUAGUAGCAACUCAUAAUAAUUUAGCUAGCAUCUAUGCUGAUGAAGCAAAAACAAUGACACUAUUUAAAAAGAAAGUGAGCAGCAGGGAAAGCAAGAUGGUAACAGGGAAAGCAAAACAUGUGCGAUACAAACUAUUUCCUAAAAUCACAUCUCAAGAAAACCCUAUUUAACACCUAUAGGAAGUAAGACGACAAAGCAAGCAAAUUUAUCAAAUACGGCAGCUUAUUUAUUACCUCAAGCUAAACGGGGUUCUCCAUACUUUAAUUCCGCUAUGCAUUGCUAGUUUCUCUUCCCAUUAGAUUCGAAACUCAAGCAAACAGGAGGUGCCUGUAGAGCUGCAGAGCGACUUGGCUGCAAGGUUGCCAAAAGGAUGCAACAGAAGUGGCAAACAAGGGAAGAACAUCCUACUUCUUAUCCAAAUAUUCAAAAUGCAGAGGAUUGUGCAUGAUAUUCAGCAUAUAAUAAACUACAGUGCACUUUCUAGUUCAGAUAUCCAUGACUAUAUUUGAAGUGUAUAGUAGAUUAACCAUUGUCUAGCAAAAUUUCAGGAGAUCCAUGAGAAGUUUGUUUCCACUUGAUACAAUAAUCAAACAAC